GUCCCUGUAGCGCAAUGGAUAUAGCGCGUUAGACUUCUAAUCCAAAGGUCGUGGGUUCGAAUUCCACUUGGGAUG
rnacentral:tRNA from 1 species